UACGGGGGGGGGCAAGCGUUGUUCGGAAUUACUGGGCGUAAAGGGCUCGUAGGCGGCCCUCUCAGUCGGAUGUGAAAUCCCCGGGCUCAACCUGGGAAUUGCAUUCGAUACUGGGCAGCUAGAGUUCGGCAGAGGGAAGCGGAAUUUCCGGUGUGAGCGGUGAAAUGCGUAGAUAUCGGGAGGAACACCAGUGGCGAAGGCGACUUCCUGGCCUGUUCUUGACGCUGAGGCG
rnacentral:rRNA from 1 species